rnacentral:rRNA from 1 species
AUUGAACGCUGGCGGCAGGCUUAACACAUGCAAGUCGAGCGAGCGGCGGACGGGUGAGUAAUGUCUGGGAAACUGCCUGAUGGAGGGGGAUAACUACUGGAAACGGUAGCUAAUACCGCAUACCAUCAGAUGUGCCCAGAUGGGAUUAGCUAGUAGGUGGGGUAAUGGCUCACCUAGGCGACGAUCCCUAUCUGGUCUGAGAGGAUGACCAGCCACACUGGAAAUGAGCCACGGUCCAGACUCCUACGGGCGGCAGCAGUGGGUAAUAUUGCACGAUGGGCGCAAGCCUGAUGCAGCCAUGCCGCAUGUGUGAAGUAGGCCUAUGGAUUGUAAAGCACUUUCAGCGAGGAGGCGUUACUCGCAGAAGGAGCACCGGCUAGCUCCGUGCCAGCAGCCGCGGUGAUAC